rnacentral:lncRNA from 1 species
ACAGAGCUGGGGAGAGCUAGAGGGAAGGCUUGGGCACAAGGGACAGCUGGAGACAGGUGGCUGCUAAGAGCUGGUACUGAGACUAUGUAAGGCCUACUUGCCACUGGAGGAGGUGGGAGUGUGUCCUGGGACGAUGGGGCACUAGGGAGGGCUCUGAGCAGGGUAGGGCAGGGUAUUACCAAAAGAAAGAGGCUCUCUGUUUUCAGAUAUGGUGGUAUGAGUGGCUCUGUCACCCAGGGACUCUGAGCACAGUCUGAAGGCUCCUCUCCCAGAAGAAAUGACAUCUGACACUGGUCUGGAGAGAGACCAUGAGUGGGAAGGAUGGAGGGGCAGGGACUUUGUCCAGGGUACUUGGGAGUCAUAGAGAAGUGGAAGUAGGAAGGGGGCAGGGCAGCUCAGGGCUUCUGGAGGUCAGAGGUGGGCUGGAGGGAGAGACUAGAGGCUGGGAAGGGUUUCUGAGUUGGAAAAGAUAAAAGCUUCAGCCAGUCCAAGAGUGCAGGGCUCGGGGGGUGGAGGAAGGACAGGAUUCAAGGCCUGAUAAGCUGUAUGGGGGUUGAAGAGAGAAGCGUCAAAGGCUAGGCUAUGGGCCUCUCCUAUUAUGUGGGAAGGUGGAGGCCUUUCCAGGAUUUCAAACCUUGGCUCUGCCCCCUCACCCCCAGGCUAGCCCCAGAUUCCCGGCUGAACCCCCAUCGCAGUCUCUUGGGCACCGGCAACUAUGAUGUCAACGUGAUCAUGGCUGCCCUGCAGGGCCUGGGCCUGGCCGCUGUGUGGUGGGACAGGAGGAGGUAGGGCCUAGGCAGUGGGCUGCGCUGGCUCUGGGCGUGUGGGAUGACACAGAGGGUGGCUUGAAGGUAGACAGGGGAGGGGUUUUGCCAGGGAGGCUAUGACAGAUGGGGUCUGACUGAAUGGUGGGUUAAACUUAUAAACUUGGUACCAGUCAAAAGGGUAUCUAAAUGAGCAACUCAUGAUUAAGGUGGGAAAGGCAUACGUUAGGUCAAGAGCAGUGGAGCCAGCCUGGACUGCAUGUGGAGAUCCUGGCUCAAAGGGGCCAACAACAAAAAGUUGAGGAGCUGGGGCUGCAUUGGCAGAAGGCCAACCCAGCAGAUACGAGGUCAGGAUUCCUACUCUAUAACCUGCUGUAGUGCUGCACAUCUGGGA